CCGGGGAGGAACCUGGAGGAGCAGCGAGGAGCACGGGGUGGGACCGGACCACCGGAUACACAGAUUGGACCGUUUUUUCUCUCACACAAUUUCGUGUUGUUUUUUUUAGAGGUUUAAACGUUACAACGGGACGCAGCAAAGACGGUGCCGUCGGGGUGAACUUGCUGGGCUUCGCGUCUCGUCGAAACCUCUGGAACUGUCAGGAAAAAAAAUUGAUUGAGAGUUAAGGUGUGGCUGAGGCUUUUUCUGUGAGGCUUCUGCGCUGAAAAAUGUCACUAAACCGACUGUUUGUUCUCGAGUCGGGGCUAAGGCUCCUACAUCUACCGUGGCUUUGCCGAUUCCGUCCAGUCAUUUUCAUUAAGGAAGAUAUUACAUAACAAAUGUAUUGUCAUCUUGAUGCGCGCACCUUUUUUCCCCCUUCUUUUUUGCUCAAGUCUCCCGCAGUAGUCUAGAUUAAUUGAACUAUUGCGCAGUUGAGAAGUAGUAAUUUCCACUUGAUUGCCGGGUCGUUUUGGUUUCAUAAGUCUGUGAAAUGUAACGGACGUGGCAACUUUACAGUAGCCAGCCCCGUUGAAUGCCACAGGCAAACUGGGCGUGGGGGGAAACGGUCCGAACAGAGUGUAAUAAUCCUCAAAUCCUCAAAAUUGCGCAUAUUUGUCACGGUGUGUCCGCACUGACAUGCGCCUCUCUGGAGCCGCUGGAUUGACCCGAAUCAAAGUAAGUGCGACUGUCAAAUACAUUUUGCAAACUUUUUUUUUCUUUUAGCGGAGGUGACAUUUAAAAGGCUUGCAGGAGAAGACGUGCAGGAGGGUUGCAUUAAAGGCGUUUUGUGUCAGGAUUAUUUCGCACUCAAGGUUGGUGUGUCGGUCGGUCGAGGCCUGUGUUAAAUCUUUAUUUUGGCCGUGACACAUGAAUACUGGGAUGGAGCGGGUGUGUCUCCACCAGGGGAGAUGUUUGGUCGCCGAAUGAAUCUAGAUCCAGUCCAGGAAAGAAGGAUAUGAGUUGUUCUGUAUUACAGUAGUACUGCUUGACUUGUCAAACAAUAUCGAGGAGUCAUUCCUCACUCUUCUGAUGCCUUUAUAGCGCAAUAACUCGAUCAUAAUUGAGUGCACAGGCUGCCUGACCCUGUGUAGUCUAAUUAAGAUAAGCUUUAAGUCGAGAGGAAAGCAGAUAGAGUGAAUUCCUCAAGGCCCCACCCUUUGCAGCGCAACAUGGAUGUGGAGAGUUGCCCCCACCUCUCUUCUCUCUCCCUCCCUCCCUCCCUCCCUCCCUCCCUCCCUCCCUCUUUCUCUCCCUCCCUCCCUGUCUCCCCCUCCGCGUCAUUCAUUUCCCCUUUCAAGCUACUCUUAUGCUGUUUUUUCCCCUCAGUAUCUCCAGGUGCCCACAGUAGAUCUUCUUGCCUUCAAACCAACUUGAGAUCAUGGCAUCAGGAUGUUCUUCCAGGACUCUGCAGAGGGGCUUCGCAGAUGGAGGAAACCUGGAUCGGACAAAUCUGAAGUCACAGUGCGUCAUUGUCUCAUCUGUGGGAACAUCAGGACCAGGUUGUCUGCUUCUCGUAUCAUGACAUCACUGAGGUAGACGCUCCUCCGCCUCUUCCUGCCCUCAAACACUGUUCCUAUGCAUUCCUGGCUCCAGUUGCUCGGUAUUAAAUCCUGUUAGUUGCUCAGCAGGGCGUCAGUGGAAGGGCCUUUUCCUCUUCCUCUUUCCCACCUGCUGACUUCCCGCCAGUUGACAUCACCUCUUCCUUAAGCAAAUACAACAGUCUACUUGAAGGAGAUCAGUGCAUUCACAAGCUGUGCUCACCAGAUGAAAGAGGGGGGCAAAAUUUUAUACCAGUGUGGAUAAUGACUGUGGAAUAAUUACUCUCAGGUUUAUGUAGCAGGAUGCGCAUUAUAGGAUGUUGCUUCACUUGUUUAUGCCGUGUUUCAUUAAAGCCACGCCCUUACUGCUGUCUUCCUCCUUGACCCCAAGCCCUCCAACUUCGACCCCCAAAUCUGAACCAACACUUUGGGACUUUACUGGAUGUUUCCUAGAAGAGCAAUAGCUGAACCAGAAAAAAAAAAAAACUCUUAUGAGGAACACAUGAGCCUUUUCCGGGGCUUAUGUCCGUGUUUAAAUAACGCCUGUUCUCUUGCACUGAAAGUUGUUCCUCCAUUUCCAACUGUAACUGGUUUCAUUUUGAAGCAUUAAUUUAUAUUCAGAUAAACAGCAGCCAUAGGCACAAAUAGAGAUGAUACAAUAUAGAUGUGCAGGGCUCAAACACGCACUCGCUGCUCCCUCAUUUUCUGUCAGCGGCGUCAAGUGACAUUUCAUAAUUCACAUGUUGUGAGAAAACACACUGGUCAUGCUUCUAUAAAACACGGUGCACGACCCCCUCCCCCCAUCCCUAUGCAUGCAUGCAUUUGCUCACUCACAUGCCUCAUGCAUACACAUGAUCUCUUUCACAAUAAUCAGUUCCAGUCACUUCCACCUCGUCUUCUUUUUCCUGGUCACUUGCAGAAACCAGCAGCACGAAAUGAUGAACCUGCUCUGACAGAGUGCUAGUGUUCGCUCGCAGCUCCACCAGAAUUACACCUCAGCAAUAUCUGUGUGUGCGUGUGUGUGUGCGCGCAUGUUUAUGUCUUGAAAUUCAUUCCCUUUUUUCUCGCUAAUCCCAUUCAAAGCUGUAGGAGGGAAGCACUGGUUAAUAUAUUGAUCCACUGUUCACUUGAAAGCAAUUUGUCGUGACCGUGGGAGAAGGAUUAGGGGAGUCGGGUGUGCACAUAUGAUCAAGUGCAGGCCAGUUGAAACUGAGACAAUGGCACACUACGCUAUCAGUGUGUGCACUUUAUCCAACUACGUGUGCACAUGCAUUGUCGUGCACACUGGGGAAUGCAAAUAAUCCUAAGUACUUUUUGUUCCAAUUAGUUUUUACUGUCCUUCAAAUAGAGUUUCUAGCAUCUCCGAGCAAUUACAAACUUGGGUAUUUCAUUAUGUUUGAAUGCAAAUGAGACAGUAGACUGUAUGGAUUCCAGUCACAUUGAUACUUCUUGUGCAGCAUAUGUGACAUAUUGUGCAAGAAUGCAGACACAAAAGAAGCAUUCUCAUAUUGUGCAGUGGCUAUUUUCCAUUGAUAUUCAUUUACAAUAUAGCUUAUAUUCAAGUUCUCAGACAAUUCCAGGAAACAAAUGUUUUGUAUUAUUUUAGGAGGUUACAUAGAUAUUUAUUAAUAGGCAAUAUGUGUUGACUUUUACUUAUUUUCUGCCCUACAUGUGUUAUAUUCAAGAUAAGUUUGAAAUGGGACAAAACAGACUUGGAUGUGUGCAAAUGUUACGCUGGUACUGAACUAAUUAUUCUGGGGUGUGCCGUAAGGUUGCUGUAAUAAAGCUAACAUUAGCUGUUCUGCCAAGCCUGUGGCUUUCAAGGGAAAAUAUUUUAGAUUACUGCGAUACCAAAAAACGAUGAGGACUUGAUAGUGCUUGUGAAAUGGAUAUUGUUGUUGCAUUUGGAGGACAGAUAAGAGGCUUGCUAGAAUCUGUUGCAAAGCUGCUCUCAUCCUCAUAACACAGCAAGCGCAUGUGUAAGAUUAUCCUCCCUCCCAUAUAGAAAGCAACUAUACACUCGACUGUUUUAUUAGUCCGUCAUUUACAUCCAGCAUGCAGUCUGGCUUGAAUCUUUGUGCGGCGGUUUCUUGUAUCCUCCCGUUCGCUUUUUGCUGUCUCAUGUUGCAGGAGAGACAUUCAGCUUAAAUUACCUUCCAUUCUCAUGACACUGAAACUGCACAAAUGUCACAAUAUGGACUGGAGGCAUUCUUGAAACUGAUUUUGGAUAAGAAAUGGUAUUCUCGGAAUGAUUCAGGGAGCUUCCCAUUCUUUUGUGCUGGCCAAGUCAUUCCGUGCUCGUCCCUCUGAGAUAUGUUGUUAUUGGCAAGCUUUUGUGGAUUUAAUCCAUCCUCCAUCCUCUGUGUGCUUUUUCAGUCAUAUUUCAGCCAUUAAAUAUUAGUUACAUUUACCAGAAAAGACCAUUAAAGCCCAAACUAAACCCGCAGACACCCUCAAACAAGUUGGGUUGCAUUGGGAACAAAUGAGGGCGUUUCCCUUUGUCCAGAAGGAGCGGAUUCUGCAUGAUGUCAGAUCACUUUCUGUGUGAGGAUAUGCAGAUAGUUUUCUGUUUUUGCAAAGGGGAAACAGGUUGUAAUUUAUUUAUUUUUAAUCGUUGGAGUGACUUUACAAUUUAAACACUUCUGUUAAUGUGUUAUGUUGUAUUGAUGUUUGCCCUCCAAGUUAAAAAUCAUCUCUUCUGCCAUCUAACUCCCUUCUGGCCUGGUUUGUGUUUAACAUGGUUGUCUUUGCUUUUCCAGCUUAACAGGUAUUUAGUCCAUCUGUCUCCUCAGCAGUAACUGUGCUGCCUCAGGAAAAACUGAAAACACUCAAAUCAAAUAUACACAUAUAUGGGAUGUUUCUCUGUGCUAGUUAACCUUAGAGUAAUGACUCAAUUUGGGGACAGUAGGCCUCGUUGUCCAGGAUUUAAGUUAUCACUUGCACACUGUCAACUGUGCUCGAAUCACACUCGCACUGUGUGCUACUUGUGUAUUUGCGUGUUUGUUCGUGCACACUCCGAGGAGCCAUUUUCAGCCUGUUGCUUAGGCUGGCUGUAAUUGUCCUGGGAAUCGUCAGCUCUGUGCAAUAAAUCAGUCCUCUGGUA